UGGGGAAUAUUGGACAAUGGGCGCAAGCCUGAUCCAGCCAUGCCGCGUGUGUGAAGAAGGCCUUUCGGUUGUAAAGCACUUUAAGCGAGGAGGAGGCUACUUGGAUUAAUACUCUAAGAUAGUGGACGUUACUCGCAGAAUAAGCACCGGCUAACUCUGUGCCAGCAGCCGCGGUAAUACAGAGGGUGCGAGCGUUAAUCGGAUUUACUGGGCGUAAAGCGUGCGUAGGCGGCUUCUUAAGUCGGAUGUGAAAUCCCUGAGCUUAACUUAGGAAUUGCAUUCGAUACUGGGAAGCUAGAGUAUGGGAGAGGAUGGUAGAAUUCCAGGUGUAGCGGUGAAAUGCGUAGAGAUCUGGAGGAAUACCGAUGGCGAAGGCAGCCAUCUGGCCUAAUACUGACGCUGAGGUACGAAAGCAUGGGGAGCAAACAGG
rnacentral:rRNA from 1 species